rnacentral:snoRNA from 1 species
AUCCUAUGAUGAGGACAGGCGGUGACGUACUCCUGCAGACGCUACCAAGCUUCUGGUAUAGAUUCCUCCUUCAUCUGCUGGAAAUUGGAAAUUCUUCCGUGAAGGGC